rnacentral:lncRNA from 1 species
ACCAUUUUCCAAGGAAAGUAUACACAUGUGGUAAAUGCAACUAUUUUUCAGACAGAAAAAACAAUUACGUUCAGCACGUUCGAACUCAUACAGGAGAACGCCCAUAUAAAUGUGAACUUUGUCCUUAUUCAAGUUCUCAGAAGACUCAUCUAACUAGACAUAUGCGUACUCAUUCAGGUGAGAAGCCAUUUAAAUGUGAUCAAUGCAGUUAUGUGGCCUCUAAUCAACAUGAAGUAACUCGCCAUGCAAGACAGGUUCACAAUGGGCCU